rnacentral:rRNA from 1 species
CCUACGGGAGGCAGCAGUGGGGAAUAUUGCACAAUGGGGGGAACCCUGAUGCAGCAACGCCGCGUGGGUGAAGAAGUACUUCGGUAUGUAAAGCCCUGUCAGCAGGGAAGAAAAUGACGGUACCUGACCAAGAAGCCCCGUCUAACUACGUACCAGCAGCCGCGGUAAUACGUAGGGGGCAAGCGUUAUCCGGAUUUACUGGGUGUAAAGGGGGCGUAGAGGGCAAGGCAGGUCUGGAGGGAAAGCCCGGGGGCCAAACACGGGACUGCUUUGGAAACUGUGUUGCUGGAGUGCAGGAGGGGUAAGCGGAAUGCGUAGUGUAGCGGUGAAAUGCGUAGAUAUUAGGAGGAACACCGGUGGCGAAGGCGGCUUACUGGACUGUAACUGACGUUGAGGCUCGAAGGCGUGGGGAGCGAACAGGAUUAGAUACCCUUGUAGUC